rnacentral:rRNA from 1 species
GUGACCAGCGGAGGGAUCAUUACCAGAGUGCCCUAGGCUCUCCAACCCAUUGUGAACUUACCAAACGUUCCCUCGGCGGGCUCAGCGCGCGGCGGCCUCCGGGCCUCCGGGCGUCCGCCGGGGAAAACCAAACCCUGAUUUAAUCGUAUUUCUCUGAGGGGCGAAAGCCCGAAAACAAAAUGAAUCAAAACUUUCAACAACGGAUCUCUUGGCUCUGGCAUCGAUGAAGAACGCAGCGAAAUGCGAUAAGUAAUGUGAAUUGCAGAAUUCAGUGAAUCAUCGAAUCUUUGAACGCACAUUGCGCCCGCCGGCACUCCGGCGGGCAUGCCUGUCCGAGCGUCAUUUCAACCCUCAGGCCCACCCUUCCGGGGGAGCGGGCCUGGUGCUGGGGAUCGGCGGCCCUCGCGGCCCCCGUCCCUCAAAUUCAGUGGCGGUCGCGCCGCAGCCUCCCCUGCGUAGUAGCACAACCUCGCACCGGAGAGCGGAACGACCACGCCGUGAAACCCCCAAUUUUUCAAGGUUGACCUCGGAUCAGGUAGGAAUACCCGCUGAACUUAAGCAUAUCAAUA